rnacentral:rRNA from 1 species
UUGAAAGGGAAAUGAUUGAAGUCAGUCGUACCGUCGAGAAAUCAACUUAUCGUGUGCGAACUUGUGGGCGUGCGUGAGUUUCGGCCUCGCUGUUUGCAUGUUUGUGUGUUUUGGGUGUACUUUUUCGUAUGGUAGGCCAACGUCAGUUUCGAUUAUCAUAAAAUGACCGGCGGAAUGUAGUUUCGAUUUCGGUUGAAGUGUUAUAGCCUCUGGUAGAUGUGGUGAUUGAGACUGAGGAUUGCAACGAAUACCCUUUGGGCUAUCCGUCUGGCCUCUGAAAGUUGCUCAGGUGCCGAAAGCGUGCUUACGGUCAUCUAAGAUAACGUUCAACAGGUUAGAACGUGAUUACAUUCGUUAAGGAUGUUGA